rnacentral:lncRNA from 1 species
AAGAGAAUCCCGUGAUGAAGUCAAAGACAUCACUUUUGGUGCAAAAGAUUUGGAAGGAAUAUCAUAUCUUCAUGACGAUGCCUUGGUCGUCUCUGCGGUUGUGGCUAACUUCGAAGUAAAGAGGAUUCUGGUUGAUAAUGGGAGUGCAGCAAAUAUACUCUCGCAUGAGGCUUUCGCCAAAAUGGGGAUCUCUCCCAAACAGCUCAAAGCAGUAAAAACUCCCCUACAGGGAUUUGGUGGUGGCGUCAUUAUCCCUGA